rnacentral:rRNA from 1 species
AACGUAGGAGGCAAGCGUUAUCCGGAUUCACUGGGCGUAAAGCGCGUGCAGGCGGUUCGGUAAGUUGGGCGUGAAAUCUCCUGGCUCAACUGGGAGAGAUCGUUCAAUACUACCGGGCUAGAGAGUGGUAGAGGAAGAUGGAAUUCCCGGUGUAGUGGUGAAAUGCGUAGAUAUCGGGAGGAACACCAGUGGCGAAGGCGAUCUUCUGGACCAUUUCUGACGCUCAGACGCGACAGCUAGGGUAGCAAACGGG